UUGACUGUCUGUCUGGUUCAUCUCUUAGCACUAUGAAGAUAACUACACUCCAACAGUACCGAUUUGUCAUCCUAUCCAAGCAACUAAUAUUCCUUGGUAAUCUGCUAUCAGAUGAUUACAGUUUUCUCUUAUGGCAUUUUUGUGAAUUAAAGCUUUAAAAGCCAAACCUUAGAUUUGGUUAGCAUAACCCUGAACUGCAUAUCAACAAAUGUCUGAUGGUCUGUCUAGUUCAUUUCUGAACACUAUAAAGAUGGCUACACAGGUAUCAGCUAGCAGCAGUGCACCCCUAUGAUAUACAAGUCUUCAUUGCAAAGUCACUCUGCCAAACAGUGUGUACACCUUUCUUGCAUUGGUUGUGACCCACUUUACUGUACUUCAAUGUCAGGAGUCUGGAUGUCAGGCCAAGGAGAUCAAGUUUGUGUCCAAGGUUACUUAGGUAAUUCUCUAAGAACAAUAGGUGAGUUGAAUUCUAGUGUACCAGUCAAAUAUCUUUAAGCAAAG
rnacentral:sRNA from 1 species